UUGUCCUGUGUUGGAGAGGUAUUCCAGAUUCAAGGGUGUAUUUCCAUAUCGCAAUUCCCAGUUCUUAGGCUAAGUAUGUGUAUUUUGUUACAUGAAGUUGCCACUUCAUACAGAACUAUGCUGCCUCCGGGGGGGCUCAACAGCCUCAAGAGUGUUUACAAAAUGUCUGGUGAUCACUGCAGCACUCAAAGGGCAAAUGAAAUGUUCUGUUUUCUUAUCUCAAAGGCUGGCCCUUCUAAGCUGCUUCUGCUCAACAAGUCACCACACACUGCUUGCUUUUGCUCUCUUACAGCUUUGGUUUGACAGCGCGAAAAAGAAGCAUGUGAACUCCAUCCCAGAAUGAAUCCCAUUAGAUUCAGCGGAGUAAGCAAUUAGAGGUGAACCACUAAGCUCCUACCUAGACAAUUGUGAAGCCCAUCGCUCCAUACAUGUCUUGUGCAGCCUCAGAAAGAAAACUGAUACAAUGCAUGCAAUCCCAAGUAUUUGGGCCCUGUUUAAGCGAACCUCUAUUGCACUCUGACUGGUUGUGGCCUGCUUUUGUACACGCUUUAGAUUCUCCAAGUCCUAUUUAAGAAGCAAAGGACAAAAACAGACAUUGUGAAUAAUGGUAUUUUAAUGAAUCCCAUAUAGACAACACAUUUACAGCAGGUCUCACCCUUGAAAACUUAAGAGUCUGAGGACUACUUUGGCCUGCAGAUAGAAUCUGCCUCAAAGACCAUUAAUUCCACUGUUAAAAUAUUCCCUUCUCCUUUGAAAUCUUGAAAAGGGAUUUUUCUCAUCUUUGUUUUAAACUUCUCUCAGAAUAAGUGUGGAUGUCACCAUGUCAGACCACAGGAUUGCGUGAAAAGCCUCAGAUGCCUGAAAAACCUAAGCAUCUGCAGAUGCUCAGCAGAGAAGAGAAGAGAAGA